GAUGAACGCUGGCGGCGUGCCUAAUACAUGCAAGUAGAACGCUGAAGCUUGGUGCUUGCACCGAGCGGAUGAGUUGCGAACGGGUGAGUAACGCGUAGGUAACCUGCCUCUUAGCGGGGGAUAACUAUUGGAAACGAUAGCUAAUACCGCAUAAAAGUCGAUAUCGCAUGAUAUUGAUUUGAAAGGUGCAAAUGCAUCACUAAGAGAUGGACCUGCGUUGUAUUAGCUAGUUGGUGAGGUAACGGCUCACCAAGGCGACGAUACAUAGCCGACCUGAGAGGGUGAUCGGCCACACUGGGACUGAGACACGGCCCAGACUCCUACGGGAGGCAGCAGUAGGGAAUCUUCGGCAAUGGGGGCAACCCUGACCGAGCAACGCCGCGUGAGUGAAGAAGGUUUUCGGAUCGUAAAGCUCUGUUGUAAGAGAAGAACGAGUGUGAGAGUGGAAAGCUCACACUGUGACGGUAACUUACCAGAAAGGGACGGCUAACUACGUG
rnacentral:rRNA from 1 species